rnacentral:lncRNA from 1 species
ACCCAGGAAGGGGUUGGAGGCCAGGGGACACCUCUGCCCAGGAAGCUGAACAAAGGCUGGGGAAGGAGACGCUGGGGAGUGAAAGGAGUUUCAGGAGCUGGCUGAGGAAUGGAGGGAAGCACAGACAGGGCUCUGACCCCCCAAGGGGGCAGUGGUGCUCCUGGGACCCCAAGAGGGACCUAAUUGGGGAGGAUCCUGCUGUUUGUGCCUGCAAGACCUGUCUGGGCCUGUGUGCCUGUCAGCUAAAUAAACCUUCUGCUUUACUGGCUGGCUGAGAGCCCUGGUGAAUGGCAGGAAGCCGGGGGUGCAGAGCCCUGACUUCCCCACACUCCGUGACAGCUCCAGUACAAAGAGGCUUGUACACCAGCCAACAUCUCGCCCAGCCUGGGGUCCCUGCGCCGCGGUUUCUCGUGGAAAUCAGAAGCAUCUUUUUGAUCCACAUCAAGAAUAGGGUUUAAGACAGCUGCUAAUGACUGACCUGAGGUCUGUUCACACACAGUCCCCUGCAUGGCUGGAGCAGCAAGACAAGAUGGGGGGUUAUUUUACAGUGUUCUCAUAGCCAGUGGCGCCAGGUAGGACACAGGGCAAGCCCUGCACAGUGGCACUAGCAUGCAGCUGGCAUGCUGGUGGCCAGAUU